rnacentral:rRNA from 1 species
ACGGUCCUAAGGUAGCGAAAUUCCUUGUCGGGUAAGUUCCGACCCGCACGAAUGGUGUAACGAUCUGGGCACUGUCUCAACUACCUGCCCGGCGAAAUUGUAGUACCGGUGAAGAUGCCGGUUACCUGCGACAAGACGGAAAGACCCCAUGGAGCUUUACUGCAGCUUGAUAUUGGGUUUCGGUAAUCUAUGUACAGGAUAGGCGGGAGACUAGGAAACCAGUGCGCCAGCAUUGGUGGAGUCAACGUUGGGAUACCGCUCUUAGGUUGCUGGAAUUCUAACCUGCGGCCAUGAAUCUGGUCGGGGGACAUUGUCAGGCGGGCAGUUUGACUGGGGCGGUCGCCUCCGAAAGAGUAACGGAGGCGCCCAAAGGUUCCCUCAGCGCGGCCGGAAAUCGCGCGAAGAGUGUAAAGGCAGAAGGGAGCUUGACUGCGAGUCAAACACGACGAGCAGGUACGAAAGUAGGGCUUAGUGAUCCGGUGGUACCGAGUGGAAGGGCCAUCGCUCAACGGAUAAAAGCUACCCUGGGGAUAACAGGCUAAUCUCUCCCAAGAGUCCAUAUCGACGGGGAGGUUUGGCACCUCGAUGUCGGCUCAUCACAUCCUGGGGCUGAAGUCGGUCCCAAGGGUUGGGCUGUUCGCCCAUUAAAGUGGUACGUGAGCUGGGUUCAGAACGUCGUGAGACAGUUCGGUCCCUAUCCAUCGCGGGCGCAAGAGAUUUGAAGGGGGCUGCUCCUAGUACGAGAGGACCGGAGUGGACGAACCGCUGGUGUACCAAUUAUCCCGCCAGGGGUACAGUUGGGUAGCUACGUUCGGAAAGGAUAAACGCUGAAAGCAUCUAAGCGUGAAACCAGCCUUAAGAUGAGAUCUCUCAUAGAGCAAUCUAGUAAGACACCUUAAAGAAGAUGAGGUUGAUAGGUCGGGAGUGUAAGUACAGCAAUGUAUUGAGCGGACCGAUACUAAUAUGUCGAGGGCUUGACUUA